GUGGAUUAAGCUGUGAUAAAAGAUUUGCUUUUUAUUUUUUUUAUUUAUUGAAUUUUAAUGUUACAUGUAGCAACAUGCUUUCCCUUCAUUCAGGUUUGACUCACUGUAGUAAUAAUAAAACGUGUACACUUCAUAUCGAAAUGUAUUUUUUUAUAUAAACCUUGACGAAAGUAUUAUUUGAGAAUACAUUCAAAUCCACAGCUUAUGAUCUCACCACAAGUGAGAUCAUUUAAAACCAACAGACCAUUUUGAAUGCUCAUUUUGUUUGUGUACUGUAGCUUUGGUAGUUUGAAUGACUCUGUUUGGCCUGUAGGGCAUCAGUGCGAGCAGUUUCUUUCUUUUUUGUGAUCGUUCAGGCCUGGCAAAGCGAUCAAGCAAGGAAUUUUAGUGACCUACGAGCAAAGGAUGGUGGGCUAGAUCUUGCUGGUGACUGCAGGUCAGAUUCUCCUGGGCACUGCGCGAAGUAUGGAUCAUACUCUCUGAUAGAGGACAGAGUGAACAAGGUGGUGGAUGUUCAGCUUGUUCAGAGCUCAGAGGACCCCCAACCGCUCAUGGUGUGAGAUUUAAAGGGCUCAAGCGCAGUGUUGGCCUGCUGAGGGGAAAGGACCUGCAUUUGGCAACGCUGAUCACGGACCGUCAUCGCCAGGUCUGGGGAAGGCCUUGGUUGCAGCUUCAAAAGAGUGUGACCAACUACAGUUGUGGAGGCCUGCUAUAGUAAAUCAAUCACUGCUAUUGGACACUGCAGCCUUAACCCCAGACGGCAAACCAGCGGUCAUGGACGACGACAACGGUCAAAUGGAGAAGUUUAGUCAACCACUUCCAUGACCAUGACACCCCUGCUUUCUCCAGUUGUUCCCAUGGCCCUCUAGACGUGAAUCAGCGCAACAAAGAGUGGCUGGACCCAAGUACAGUACACACAGCUCAUUGGCAGCAGUAAAGUUGGAGAACAUAAUCAUGAGGACUGCCUUACUGAAAGAUGUUCGACAGCUUUCUCCACAGCACCAGACCUUCUCCCUUGAGGCUUACCACUCCAUCAUCUUGCACUUCGAAUUAUACUGCCAAUUAUUAUGCCUUUUAUCGUAAUAAUAGUACCUAUUAUCAUGCCUAUUGUAGUAUUUUGUCAUACAUACACCAAGUUUCAAAAAAAAUCUCAAAUGUGUUAUUUUGUAGGCUUCUCUUAGUGGCGCUGCAUUACAAUCACAAUGGAAACCGCGAGACAUCAUGGAGAACUGAUUGGAUGGAGAAGUACUGCGUGCGGUCUCCGCGCUUCACAAAAGAUGCCCAUGUGGUUCUAUCAUAUUUUGACAGGAUGAGACACAGGUGAAUGCAAUCAAUGUAUGAGGUACAGGUGAAUUUGAUCAGUGAUGAGGAGUCCGGGCAGUAGGGUUGCCACCUUCAGUGAGGCAAAAUAAGGGACACCCAUACACGAGAUAAAUAAAUAAUUAAAUUAAAUUUUUAAAAAAAAAAUGUGUCGUAUGGAACUGAUUAUUUCAACAUGCCAACUUGACAGCUCAACAAUAAACCACGAGAAAAAAUUAGAUCAAGUAUAUGUGAGCUUGCAACAGAAAACAUUUUAUAUUAUUAUUUUACAUUUUAUUAUUUUACUCUUAUUUACUUAUAUAAACUCUUCUGUAGCUAUAUGUUAGGGAUUA